AUUAAUUUAUGUUCUUAUUAACAUAUUCCAUUACUGUGAUCACGAAUAGUUUUGUUCUCUGUUAGUAGGAGUAUUUGAGUGCAAAUGUUCCUGAACCCUUUCCGCUCUUGAAUAAUAUCAUCAUAUGAAGGUACCAGGGCGUUUCAUUAUGCAACUAUGCCUGAGAAAUCUGCAGUAUGGGAUUUUUGUUCCAUUUAGAGUAUAUUACAAAAUCACUUUGUAAAUGCUGCCACCACUUGCAUUGUGCAACGGUGCCUAGUUUUGUAAAUGAAUUCUCAAAUAGAGACAAAUGCUAUACAAUGCAUCUACUUAGCUAACAUAUAAGGUCAAAUCCCUCUACUCGUCACUAUUUAUUUUUUAGAUACAAUGCAGCGUAGAAUGUGUUUAAAUGGAUUACUUAUUUUUUUAUGGUGUUCUUUCCCAUAAAGACUGUGGAAAAGACCCAUGAGAUAUUUGAUAUUUGAAUCAGAGAUAGCCUGUUUCGUUUAAAGUAGCUAACAUAACACUGCUUUCAAUGUAUUGCGUUAAAGUAACAAUUCACACUAUAUCUAUUUCAUUUUUAAAUAUGAGCUAAUUAAUUGUUAAAAAGUGAACAUUUCUUUGAAAAUACUACAUGUACUCAGAAUCAAAACUAUAUCGUAAUUCAUGGCAAAUUGAGCAUUCUUUCAGCUUAAUUACAAAAUUAUCAUGCAUUUUAAAUUCAAAUCUAGGAAGAACAUCGAGAGAAAAUCCAAAGAAGGAAAGAUCUUAGAAUCAUUUAAGGUGUUCAGUUAACAAAGUCAAACAAAGCUUAUUAACUGCAAAUUGGCAAUGGCAAUAUUUAACUUUGUAUAUUUAAACAUGAAUGACAUAAACGUACAAAAUCCAGGAGACACAUUAAUGCAAUACAACCUGGCAUUGUAUUUGUGCAUACAGGAUCUAACAAACUAGUUCAUCCCAUUAAAAAAAUAAUACAUUAAUAAGCAGAAUUUAGUAAUUCAAAUUUGAGAAAUAACAUCAAUUUGCAUGUCCGUUAGUUGGUUAAGCCAUAGAUACAUAACUGUGUAAGAGGUGGAACCCUGUAAUUAUUAUUGUAGCCCUAAUGCGUUUUCUAACCAUAAAAUAGUACACAAUUAUCUUUGAAAGACUUGCGAUGGCAUAAUUAAACAACUUUAUUAUAAAAUAUAAACUGGCAUAGAUGGCCUAAGUUGAAGGGCAUUUAAAAGCAAACGUCAAACACUAUUGGUUUAAAACAUUUGGGAGAUGCCAAUGAUACAUCAUCUUCAUAUCUAUUAAUUGCGAUGGAAUAUAAUUUCCUUGCAGUUCAUUGUAAUAAUAAUGAUGAUAAUUAAAUGAGAAGGUUAAACACGUAAGACUCUACUCCAUGUGAAUGGUUCAUUACUGAAAAUGUUUUUUAUUGGAAUUAUAUCAUCGAAUUAAAAAGCAUUAUAGGUGCUACAAUGCAUUUUUAGUUUUGAUCUUCACAUUUUACUUUGCAGAGCACAUUAUUACAGUGUGUUCAACAAUACCUGUGUAAUUGGUACAUUUUGUUACCUAUAGGUAGAUGUAGUUGUUACUCAUUUUUUAAUCAAGACAGAAUUCAAUUCUAUCUUAUUACAAACAUUUAAUGGGGAUCUAUUGCAUCCCGGGAUUUUUAAUAUUACGUUUACUCAGCGCCCAUAUUUAAAAAAAAUAUGUGCCUGUGUGGUCUGAAAAAUAAAAUUCAAUGUAAAAAUCUACAUCAUUGUACUUUACUCACAUAAUUUGUAGUGGAGGAGAAACAGAAAGAAUAUUUCUGUUUAUCUUUCAUCUAUGCAAUGUGUGCACUGAUUAUGCCUAGACUGUAUUGCAAAAUCUCAAUUGCUAAAUCUUUAAUACAUAUAUAAAAAAGGUACAUCAGAUGAAAAGAAAAGAUACAACACAAGGUAUAGAUGAAUAUCAAUGCUUUAUUUAAUAGUGUAAUUCCCAUAAAAGUGAUUGCUCCCCUGUAAUAUGCAGUAUUUGGGCUAGUCUCUAAAAUAGAUUACCAAUAGAUAUCGGUUGAGUUCCAAUUAUUUAAGUUUUAAUAAAGCAUCAUAUAUUUAUACCACACAGAAAAUUGCAUCUGACCUGAUAGUAAACAUUGUUGUGAUAGAAUGAUG